AGGACAUCCUCCUCCCAGUGACGAGAGGUCACGCUACAAGUUCGCCUUACACCAGGAAUGGGAAGAGUGUUUUUUGUUAACACCAUUAUUUUUCCUGUUUGUUUUUUGGGGUUUUUGUUGUUUUGGUGGUUUGUUUUUUGUUGUUUGUUUGUUUGUUUGGAGUUUUUUAUUUGUUUGUGGUUUUUUUGGUUUUUUUUGCUGGUGGUGGUUGUUGUUGUUGUUGUUUCGCCUGCUGUUGACCGGCUGCUUGGUUUUGACAAAAGUUGCACAAAAUAUCAGUGCCUCCCAGAAACAACACUCAGAUGAAACUGUUCUUCAGAAGUUCACUGGAGAAAAACACCUUAGGAAGCUCGACCAUUUGCUUCUUCUUCUUCUUCUUUUUUUUUUUUUUUUUUUUUUUUUUUUAAUGUUUCCAAAGAAACGCAAGCUUCCCUUCUUCUCUAGGGAAAAAGUACUCAUUGCUCUUCUCUGCACUAGACAUUUCUAGCUUGUUCUGUCUGUCAGAACGGGACUAUGAGAGGUUUUGGUGCAAAUUCAUUAUCUCUGGCAAUGCAUAACGUAUAGUAGGAACUGAAAAAGACCGUGGCAAUGGAUGAAGAACAAUAGAGCUUCAGUUCAUCAGCAACAAAAGCGUUGGGGAAAUUGGUUGAAUUUCAGAGCACGUCCUCCUCAGCAGAGAGGCUGGACUAGACCUUGGCCAAACCCCCAAAAUCUUGCAGAACCUCACAUACAACAGUUCACUUUCUACUCCAGGGUGUGGGCAAAAGUGUGGAAAAAGAAAAAAAAAAAAAAGGCAAACCCAAGCCAACUUUCUCCAUUUCUCCCCUGUUUUCAUGGAUGGAAGAUUUUAAACUAUUUUAGAGUCGUUGGAGCAAGAACAACACCAUGGAUCUAAGGGAUACUUUCAAAUAGAGAUGGAGAGGGGAAACACUUGAAUUUCUGGAGACCUGAAAGAGCUUUUUCUGCUCCUAGGGGCCUUGGCUGUGGGAAUCUUUGUUUGCCACCAGAGGCUCAGCUCACCUCCCUACAUGUGGGGUAAAAAUCACUCCCUGAUAAAGGCGAAGAUAUACCGGGAGCAGCAGCAGCCGGCAAGGACCGCCGCCUUCUUCUGCCCAGCUUUAGGAGCUCCGAGAAAGGGCGAAUCCCCCCCUUCCAAAAUACACACGCAGGCAAGGUAUUUGCAAUCAAGCUGCCACUAUUUGGCAAAGAGCUCUAUGCCGUGUACAAUGUAAGGAGCUCCGGAGCCGCAUCCUCGAAUCAUCUUGUUACCUCCUACUGAAAUGGAUUUUCCCCACCUUCUUGUUCCUCCUUACACUGCGCUGGAAAUUGCCGAAGGCUUUUCACCUUUAUAGAGGCUAAGGUGUCUUUCGUGGAAAAGAAGCGAUUCACAAUGCAAAUAGGGGCCUGUAAAGGAAUGGAUGCUCCUCUCUCUUAAUGCAGCUUGACGCAACUUAAUAGCUGGUUUUAUUUUCUGUUAUUAAGAGACAAAUUGAUGGCUACCUUUGCCGGAAAUUACUGGCUGAAACAAAAAGUUCGGAAUAAACUUUGAAGGCAAGGGGUCGUUGUGUAGCUGCACAUACAUACAGAAAUAAUUACAUAAAAGGAUGACAUUUUAAAGCAGCGCUAGUCCUCAUGGAGGAAACAAUACUUUUGCCAGAAAGAAUCUGGACUGUAGCAAGGACAAAAAAAAAAAAAAAAAAAAAUUCUGAGGGAAGUGAGUUGUUAUCUUUGGUUAUCUAGCUGUAUGAGUGUUUUGGUCUUCAUAAAGCUAGAUAACCGAAAGUAAAAACUCCUUCAAGAUCAUCGUACGGUAUGUGAAAAUGAAAGACUGCUGCAACAGAGUAAAAAUCAAAGAGAGUCAGAAAUGCUUAUUGAAUCUAACAUUUUUACAGCUAAAGAUGAGACUGGAGAAAGUUAAAUGGCAUACUUAUUCAAAAAUAUGAAGUUGAUGGCACGCUUAUUCCAAAAUAUGAAGAUGUUGCAUGGCACAGAAUGGAUAUUCACCCGCUGCAGAGAGAACAUGGUACUGAUGGUAAACAAUGUAUAUGCAACUAUUGCUGUGGAAUAAAUAAAUAAAGAGAAACCAAGAACGGUCAGCAUUAAACCAGACUAAGAGGACAUUUUUUUCUUUUAGAAAACUAAUGCUGAAUUUCAUUUUGCAAAGUAAUUCAUUGCAAUGAAAUGGCCUUAAAAAAUAAAGGUGGUAGUUGGUGAUAAAGAUGGUGCUGCUGAUGAUACAGAGCUGACUACUGAACUGAGGAAAAAUAAAACUCAAAUACAACAACAAAAAACAACAGUCCAACCUAAACCUGUCUGUGUGCAUUUGAGACAAAGCAUUGAGGUUAAUUUCAAAUCAUGUGAAAGCAGGCUUUCAGAGAAAGUUUACACCGAAGUGCAGGCAAGCUUAAUGAUUUAUAUCUACUUAGAACUCGGUGGAGUUGCACAAAAAUGGAGAAAAAAGUAAUGGCCGAUUUUCAUUCCUCUAUUCAAAACGCGAGCAUAGAUGCUUCUGUGUUUCGAGAGGGUUUCCUUGAGGAAGCUACUGAAGCAGAAAGACAUGAUGGAGACGAGAUCGCCCUCCCCCCGUCAAUGUGUGGAAAAAUGUUUUAUGCCUCGCUCUGCACCUAGCAUUGGAAAUGAAAGUGACAUUUACUCCAAAACCCACGUGUGCGCCUCCUCUCUUUUUGUUUAAGGACGAUCAGGUCUAUCCUGGAAACAGCUCUGGCAUCCCAUACCGAAAUAAUUAGGACGUAUACAGACCUGACAAAAACACGGAGAGGAGGGGAGGGGAGGAGGUGGAGAAGCGGAGGGUCUGUCUUGCCUAAUUGAUUCCGUUAAACGACGUGCCGGAGAUGUGAACGGCUGGGCGCUCCCAUUCCCACGCUCGGGGCAAAUGGCAGCGCCGCGCCCCGGCCGUCGGUGACAGACAGCGCGGCGGGGGCCGGGGCCGGGGCCGGGGAGCCCGCUCCGACACCCGCGAGAGCAUUUGCCACCCACUGCCGUCCCAGAAAUGCCGGACGAAGGGACGGGGCUGCAGAGCACGCCCGCUUCCCCUGCCGUGCCCGCCGAGGGAGAAGGGCGGAACUCGCGCCCGGACGGAACUCGCUCCCUUCUCCCGCGGGGGUCGCGAGGGGACGCGGGUUUUGGUCCCGAUGGAGGAAGGGAAGGUCAGGGCAGAUGUGUCGGGAUGCAAACAGUCCUGUGUUUUUAACAAAUAUUAUCAUUAUAAUGACGGCUGCUUAGGCGCCUCUUGCAGUGAAACUGAGGGGGAUUCAUUGCUCAGGGUUACAUAUUUCCUUUGGACUUGACCUAAAGGUUUGUCCAGAGGCACGCUCGAAUGUGUUACUGAGCUGGUAACCGAACGUUCUCCGCUGCAGAUUAAAAUAAGAUCAGCGAUAAGGGAGUGUGGGUCAGCGGUCUCCAUCCGUCUGGGGCAAAACCAUUGCUCGCCGCUCUUUAUAAUUAUUUAAUUUAUUUUGUUUUUUCGCUUCGUUGUUGAACUGACUAUAAAAAGCAUUGGUUUGGGGCUUAUACUGGGAAUAUUUACCUUCACGCCAUCCAUUGCACUGUGAGAAGGAUGGAACAAGGAUCCAGCUAGCGUGUUCUGGAAGCAGCAGGAGCACUGUGUAGCAAAACCAAAGAAUUUUGCCUAAAAAGUUAGACCAUCCGCUCUGUAGCUGUUAAAAUAACCUUAGUUUCGGCCGGAGGGUGCUCCCCGUGGUCCUCGGCAGUGCCAGCUGGGACCCCGGCUAGGCUCUUUUGAGGUUAAACCUUUGUUUUGUCUGCGCUACGUAUGCUCUAAGUUUUACUGCUGCAGCGCCCGGUGAGGGGAGCUGUGUUUAUUUACAUCAGAGCUGAGUUUGAUCAGCCGGGCUUUCAACGCACAGUGCCCGCCUCUCAUUUAACUGCUUGUCCAGUGGUGCUAUUUACCUCGAGCCAUUGUCCACUACAAUUAAUAUUUACAUGACAAAGUGCGCGGUCUUGUUUCUUAACGAGCUUCAAUAAAGGCGAUAAGCUGUUUUCUGGGGAAACCCCUUGUUUACUUGGGCAUGAAUGGGGUUAAUUUACUUAAUUUACUUAAGAUCUUGCUUGCGUCUAGGUCUUCGUUGUAAAUUUGUGAAAGAAAACAUCAGAGAAAAACAGCAGCAUUAUAAUCGCGUGUUUGCCGUUGUCAUCUUAAAUUGUUUUGUAUCUUAAUAACGUCACGUGAUUAUGAAUCAAUAAAAUAUUAUUGGCUAUUAUUACUAUUA